GUUAUUUUGGCAGAUUAAGUGUGUUUGAUUUAGAAUCAUUAUAUGUAAUUAUAUUACAAAUAAUA
rnacentral:tRNA from 1 species